GAGACCUUGGGGAACAAUUUUAAAGUGGCUCAAUAGCGAUCGCAGAGCCAAACUCAUACCUACAUCAAUGUGGUGCAGAGAAUCUCUAAGAAUUUUUAAUGCUGAAUUGGAGCAAAGAAACUUCAAGGAGGAAGCAAAGUGAAGAACACAGAUUUCACAGAUGGGAUGCCUGGCUCAAAUUCCAGCUUGACCGCUGGUAGCUGUGUGACCCUCGGCAAGUUACUUGACCUCUCUCUACUCAGUGUCCUCAUCUGUCAGUGUAAUAUGAAUCAGAAAACAUGAACUCAGACUGAUGCUGGAAGCCACCUUAUGACUAUAAGCAGAAUCAGCCUCGUUAUGACGUUGAUGCUAUAAGCAACGGACUGAAAGAUACAAAGAGCAAGCAGACAGGAUGGAAGCUAGACCAAGAAUGAAGUUAAUGCAUGGAUUAGGGAGAAACAAAGUGAAACUUAGCAAAACUGAUCCAGGACCCUGAUGACACGUGAAUGGAUCUGAUUCACGAUUUUGGUAUCUGACUGAUGCUGUCUUCGUGGAAUGAGUUAGGAAAGAGUCCCUCCUCGUCAACUGUUGGGAAUACAUUCAGCAGGGUUGGUAUCAUUGCAUGUCUGGCAGAAUUUGACUAGGAAUCCAUCUGGUCCAGGAUUUUUUUUGUUGAAAUGCGUAAAUGGCGACAGUAGAGCCAGCCUUCAUGAAUCCAGAAAUGUGAGCCACAUUUUGAGGAUAGCAGAGUCACUGCAGAAGCCUGGAUCCUUGCAUAACCUUGUCGAGUGGGAAAAUCUACCCAUACUUGACCAACCACCUAACUGGGGGCUCUACAUCUGAGAGAAAUGAUUUUUUAUCUUAUUUAAGCCACUGUAGUUAGGAGUCAG
rnacentral:lncRNA from 10 species